rnacentral:tRNA from 1 species
GUCCAGGGUAGCCUAGUGGACAUGGCAUCUGCACGGUAAGUGGAACAACGUGGGUUCGAUUCCAUCCCUGGACA